AUGGCAAAACUCCCGAUAGUUGGUCGCAGUGUGCAGCAUAGUAGUAGGAAACCCAACGAGAGCAUGAGGCUUGUCGUUGUGACCAUCAUCGGGGUGGUCUUUGGUUUCUUCAUCGGGAUCUCCUUCCCAACAGUCAGCAUAACAAAGCUUCACUUCCCUUCUAGCAUUGUUUCCUACAUAGAGGACAAGAACUCUGGACUCACAGCUCAGGCUAUACUUAACCAUGCCUGGAUUUCUGCUAGAAACGCAAGGGGCAAUGCUUCUGAAUCUAGUUCAAACACUACCAUGAAGAUAUAUGUACCAACAAACCCCAGGGGCGCAGAGAUGCUAGCACCUGGCAUCAUUGCAUCAGAGUCUGAUUUCAAUGCUCACAGACUAUGGGGAGACCCGGCUGAGGACCUACCCUUCAAGCCAAAGUACCUUGUUACUUUCACUGUUGGAAUUGCACAGAAGGAUAACAUAAAUAGAGCAGUCCAGAAGUUUUCUGAUGACUUUGCUAUCCUGUUAUUUCACUAUGAUGGCCAUGUGACUGAAUGGGAGGAAUUUGAGUGGUCAAAACGAGCGAUUCAUGUUAGUGUUCUGAAACAAGCGAAAUGGUGGUAUGCUAAAAGAUUCUUGCAUCCUGAUAUCGUGGCACCUUAUGAGUACAUAUUUAUCUGGGAUGAAGACCUUGGAGUUGAUCAUUUCAAUGGAGAGGAGUAUAUCAAACUUGUCAAGAAAUAUCAGCUGGAAAUCUCACAACCUGGUUUGGAGCCAGAUAAGGGAUUGACAUGGCAGAUGACCAAAAGAAGAGGGGAUCGCGAGGUUCACAAGGAUACUGAGGAGAGGCCAGGCUGGUGCACGGAUCCUCAUCUUCCACCAUGUGCUGCUUUUGUUGAAAUUAUGGCUCCGGUUUUCUCCAGAGAUGCAUGGAGAUGUGUAUGGCAUAUGAUUCAGAAUGACUUGGUUCAUGGAUGGGGUCUGGAUUUUGCUCUGAGGAAAUGUGUGGAGCCUGCUCACGAGAAAAUCGGUGUCGUCGACUCCCAGUGGAUCGUACACCAAGUGGUUCCUUCUCUUGGGAACCAGGGACAGGCGGAGAACGGGAAGGCGCCGUGGGAAGGGGUGCGGGAGCGCUGCCGAAAAGAGUGGGGGAUCUUCCAGACGAGGAUCGCGGAGGCCGACAAGGCGUAUUACGAGAUGAUGGGCGUCACCCCUCCCAACGUAACAUUUGUCCACUAG
rnacentral:rRNA from 1 species